CGGCUCGACAUCCAAACUGGUUCGACCGGAUCUGAAACAUUAAACGUGAUUUUCUCGAAACUGACAUUUUCAAACGACACUCACGAUUUUUCACUGGACUCAUUUACCAUUUAUAACAUUUUUAGAGAGAUUUAUGGACUUGUCUAUGUCUGCAACUAUACAUAUCCCCAACAGCCAAAAGAGUAAACGUCGCCCAACAGAAGCAAACGUCGGAUACCCUAUAAAAUAUAUACAUAAAUGAUCAGUAUUCCUAAUUAAACCCACGUUUAGUUAUUAGUAAUGAUGCAUCUCAUCCAUAAGAGAUGUCGAUAUCCUCUGCUAUCUCUUUGAUGUUAACAGGACGAUUUUUAAGCACUGUUUCUUUAACUUUUUCGAUGUAAUCAGCAUUAACAGAAGUGGAUGGAAGACUCGCAUGAGACAAGUUUUCGACGACUUUACGAUAUAUUCGAUGGUAAAAUAAACUAAUAAUCAUAAGGUGUUAGAGUUGUAUACGACUAUACCUUCCAUAGUCUUAUUGAAUAAAUAGUAAGCUCAAUUCCCAUAACAGUUCGCUCUACGAUAACCAUUAUCAAUUUAGCUAUCUACAAGUGAGACCAUCUUUCGUGCGAUAAAUGAUGCAUAAUCGAGAGAACCCUUUCGAUCCCAACGAUAAAAGAAGACCCGAGAGUUUUGAUGUUCUUGAGAAAUUAAAGCUUUUUAGAGGAUUCCUCAUUUACGUAUAUGUAACGCAUACAUACAUAAACGUAAAAGCAAACGAAACUCAUGUCAUGCAAAUAUUUAAUUUACUGUGCUUAUUUAUAUACAAUUACUACAAAUCAAGCACCGUGGAACCGGGGUCAUCGCUUAUUUAGUCAUGCCUAAUAAUUAAUUGACGCUUUGUGAUAUUUUGUGUGUGAAGAUUUGACUUCUCUGAGAAAUUGUAGUUUCCAAUAUCAACAUGUCCCAUGAACCUCAUAAUUUGGAGAAGAAAAAGUUAUUAAAAUGCGGAUAUUUGCCAUUAAUAUUAUUCUGCGAACUAUAUGUAAUUUGUUAAGGUGCGAAGUAAUAAAAAAAAA